AAUCUCUCUCUAUUUUAAAAUGUACCAUUUUUUUUUCUGUGAAAAGAUGUUAUUGUGUCUCUGAUCCAUGGAUAUAAAAAUUACUGAGUGCAUGCAGCUGAGCUUGCCUCUGCUGCAAAAUCUCACUGCCGCAAGAUACAAAAAGUACUAAGCAAAAAUUGGCUCAGGCACAUGUACCCACCACUUAUACAAACCUCACAGCAUUCAAGGUGUAAUGUAACUGCAAAUAUUCAAUUUGCCUUUAGAAUGUGGUAAAAUACCUACCAAGAGCUCACUGCAAUUCAAAGAAAUGUUACAGGUCCUGAACCGGGUUAACAUUAUUGAAUAAUCUCGUCGUGAAACACUUUCAGGUCUCUUUUGGGCAGUAGCCCUAAGCACGGGGAGUGAGGAGCAGCCCUAAUAAAAACACCACAAAGAUUCAGGAGGAGGGUUUGAUGCCCUGUGGGUGUGUGACCCGUGGUUACCGUGUCUCCCAAGCGCAGGUUGGCGCCGUCCAUCUCCACGUGGGAGAAGGGCCGUGGGGUUGUCUCCUGGUGGAUCUGCUCCCUCUUCCCAGCGCUGGAGAGGCGGGACCAGAGCACCCUGUACUGCCCGGGGGGCUCCGGGGAACGGGGGCUGAAGCUGCACCUCAGGCGGAGCCGGCCUUGCACCAGCUCGGGGGUGAUGGCCGGACGCAGAGCCAGGACCGUGAGCUUGUCUGGAGGAGGAAAGCAAAAGAGGGAUGAGGCACAAAAUGCUGUUUUGAUGUUGCACGUGUUCACCUAACAAGAAGUCAGUGUGAUUAAACAUGGAGAGAAGCACAACAUUUUAUGUUCCUGGGGUUUAAUUAGUAACCGUGCAAGCAAGAAGGUGUGUUUCAUGUGAAAUGCAAAAAUAUCUAAUUGUGUACUGACUACCUAUUGCUGUUACACCAUCUGACCCGCUGGUUUUGAAUGCAUUUUCUUUUUAUUAUUUUGCAGUGAGAGAAACAUUAUUUAAAUGAAGCACUCAGAUUAAUACAAAUUAAUUACUCUGGCAAAGGUCAUCAGCUUUGCGUUUCCCUGGAGCACAGCCUUUUGAUCCAAGUGCUGCAAUAAGCACAGAAGAGAUAAGAGAAAUUAUGUUGCAGAGGUAAACUGACUCCCAGAAAGCAGCCAGCCCCUAUUGCCUUAUGGUGAAGAUCCUUUCCAGGCUGCUUGAGGAUGUAUCUAGGCUAGGUCUGCUCAAUAUAGUCUCCCUCUGCCCAGAAUAAUGCCAUUGCUCUAAAAAUAUAGCUUGCUUUCUGUGGGCUCCAACAAGUAAUAAAGUCUGAAACCUUUCUUCCUGUUAAACUCACCUAGAAAGUAGAAACAAAGAGAGGUAUAAUGGUGUAAGGGCAUGUUUUUCAUCUCUAGAGACCCAGACUCAAACAAAACAUGAAGUUGGUUCAGAUGCUUUGAAAGGAUAAAUUAAGUAACUUUUUUGGAGGAGUGUAGAAAAUAUAAUAUGUGGGAACCCAAGAGAAUAAAAUAUGAAGCUGUUCCAGCAGAACAGAGAACCAACGUGUUAACAUCUGUCCAGAGAAAUCAGCAAGAGGUAAGAAAAAGAAACAAGUUACUUAAAAGAUGAAUAAAGACCAGUUGUUUAUACCAUUUUCUAUUUCGUCUCUUAGAGCAGCUGCCUCAAACUGUGGCUCACAUCACGGCUGUGUGCAGGAAAUCAUCCCAGAAGGACAGAGUUAGGUGAUCAGCUCACGGGAGGAUCUCAGAAGCGCUGACUGGUGCCCUGCUCCUGAACCUCCAGCAGAAGGGGCUGGGGAAUUGACCCUGACACAAAGCCCCGGCCAUGCCAGCUGGACCCAGCUGAGCCUCCUGGGGUGCAACAUUUACAGCUGAAUUUAAGCCAGUGAGAGGUUCAGAAUUCCCUUUUUGAGGGGGGAUACUGGAUUAUUAAAGAUGAGAAGAGGCCCUAGAGACAGUAUCCUGGAUACAGUGCCUGGGUACAGCCUCUGCUCACUCGCUUUGCAACUUCAAGCCAAAGUGGAGCCAAAGACAGUGGGAAAGGUUACAUGUGAGCUGUAACCAAGCAAAGAACACUCCAGCAAUACACACCAGAUUACAUUUUGCACUGGUAACAGGAGCUAUUCUUCAGGAACACCUUGGACUGCCACUGAUUUAUUUUCUACACGCUCUGCGCCUCGGCGGGAGUGACGCUUGACUCGCAAGGUCACCGAGAUGUACAUCGCAACACCAGGGCCUUUGAACACCCAGCCUGAGAGGCAUAAGCAAUCUUAUUGAUAAAUGCUUUGCUGGGGCUCACCUUCUGCACAGUAGCCCAUGCAUCCUGGAGCGGGCUGCAGGUGAUACACGAAGAAGGCGCCGCAGUUCCUGACGGCGAUGGGGAUGCGGAACAGGCAGCAGUCCCUGGUGCCCCCGAAGGCCUGCCAGGUGGCACAGCCCGUCAGCCUCUUGCUCUCCCCAGGAGCUGGCAGGGGUUCAGACCUCAGUGACAGCCACACUGGGGCUUGUGUCCCGCAUUUGUUCAUCUGAGGUGCACACAAAAGGAACCGUGCGGUAAGACCCCGUGGAGAUCACUGAAACCCAAGAGCCUGAGUGUGGUGAACCUGGAGGCUCAGUGACAAAGCCUUGCAGGUGGGGAUGAAAAUGUCUUGCUCUUUGAGAGAUGGCUCUAUACAGAUAAAAUGCUUGAAGAGCACAAUAACAGAAUUCCAAAGUAUUUUCCCCUGGUUUUGCUUGGUUUGCAUGAAGAAGAUGAGAGCAUGAAAGCAGGCUAGAUCACCUGCUGCCCUGCUCCUGACAGCUCCUGCCCUUCCAGCACACACUGGACAUGUUUGUGAGGCCUGUACCUCUCCCUCAUUCUUGAUGAGAAUAUGAAGAAUGGAUAAAACAUGUGCAGGAUA